UCCAGUUUUUCACUACCUCCCAAAUGAAUGAUCUCUGAGUAUGAGCAUGAGUUCUGAAGUACUUGGAAGCUUGCAUGCUCUUGUGGAAUUAUUAUUGGUCUCAAUAAAUGUGGAUGUCUGAAGAAGAACUGUUAUUUGAGGUGCGGGGGGGGGGGAGUAAUUGUGAACCCUACAUUUCAGAAUGAAAUGUUAUUUAUUUUCUUUAACUUUACUAUGGUCUCAGUAUUGGUUAAGCAAAAUCAUCACCACCACCCCCAUCUUCACCAUGACCACCACCAGCAACAUCAUGAUCAUAAUCUUUUGGACUAAACUGUUUUAAAUAAAAUGCAUGUAGAAUCCUGAGUUGAAGCUGCAACAACCAAUUGGCAGUGGAACUCUCUGCCCCGGACUGUGGUGGAGGCUCCUUCUUUGGAGGCUUUUAAGUAGAGGCUGGAUGGUCAUCUGUCGGAGGUGCUUUGAAUGCAAUUUCCUGCUUCUUGGCAGGAGGGUUGGACUGGAUGGCCCAUGAGGUCUCUUCCAACUCUAUGAUUCUAUGAUCUUAAUUGCAGUCCUCAAUUAUUUGAGGGAAGGACACAAUGUCCAGCAUAGGCUACAGCUCAUUCAAGUGAAUGCUUUCUGCCUCUCUUAAUUCCACAUCUCCCUGCAUCACUGUUUUGAUAGAUGAAACAGGCAUUCGUGGACAAGGAAUCUAUUUUACAGCUCAAUUGUUUUUCAUUUCUAAAGGGACAUAUAGGGUGCCAUCUAAUAGGACUGGCAGGACUUACAUAAACUUAUGCUACAAAUAGUUCUGCUCCUGUACUAAUGUUAGAUCCGUCCUAGUCUUCUGAAAACAUCCCUGUUGGAACUGUAAACUAACAAUAUGUCACUGGUUUGUUAUAUGUUUUCCAGACUGUAUGGCCAUGUUCCAGAAGUAUUCUCUCCUGAUGUUUCGCCCACAUCUAUGGCAGGCAUCCUCAGAGGUUGUGACGUAUGGAGAAACUAAGCAGGAAAGUGUAUAUAUCUGUGGAAAGUCCAGGGACCAAAGACUGGAGACCUCGGUACACUCCUUCUAUACCUCGGAUGUCAUCCUCUUCCACCAAGUGUGCAGCUUCGGGAGGGACGCACAUGGGGCGGUGAAGAAGGAAGGGGACACCCGCCUGGCCAGCCAGAUCAGCCAAAUCAACCCUGGCAAUUAAUGGGGUGACAGAUGUCGCAGCCAGAUCACCCACACAUCCAACAAGAGAAAUAGACUAAUUAGCUCCUUCGAAGAAGGGGGAAAGUGAUGCCUGCAGGUAAGAAGGAAACAAAAGGUUGCUGGUUGAUUUACAUGCAAGUCAGGGCAAUAGUGGAAUACUGGCAGCUCCCCUCAGCAUGGUGACUUGCUGGCUUCCCAGGAGCCUUCACAGCUUGGUGUGACCCUGGUGGAAGUGGGAACCGCAAGCCAAUGAAUUUAAAUGCACUCUGCUAGUAGACUGCAGCUAUUUUGCUCAGGAUGGCCCAACAUAGUGUGGGGUGGACUAGAUCUUGCCCGGCAUUAGGGAAAAUGUCUUGAUUUUAGAUAUUAUAUUGUUCUGUUUUAUUAUACCACAGUAAUUAUUAUAUAUUCUAUUUAUAAUCUUCUAUUAUUUGCUUAGAACUGGAUUAUAUGAGGCCCCUUCUACACAGUUGUAUAAAAACCACACUGAACUGGGUUAUAUGGCAGUGUGGACUCAAGAUAAUCCAGUUCAAAGCAGAUACUGUGGAUUAUGUGCUUUGGCAUUCUGGGUUAUAUAGCUGUGUGGGAGGGACUUGAGCCUACAUUGCCAUAUAAUCCAGUUCAAAUCAGACAAUCUGUAUUUUAUAGGCAAUGUGGAUGAGGCCUAAGUGCACUAUGCCUGUGCCCUGGGUGCCAUUUUGGCUGAGGGAAUUACUAGGAUAUGAAGUGGGUGGGGCCUAAAGGGGCGGAGCCUACCUUUCUGAGCCAUUUCUAAAGGGGGAAAACAGCUCUUUCUUGUUCUCUAAUUGGGCUUUAUUUUUCUAGGUUUUUUUUUGUUUGAAAAACAUAGACUGGAUGACUAUGUCUUUUGUGUCCAAAUUGGGUGUGAUUUGGUUCAGUGGUUUUGUUGUUUACUCCAUAGUAAAAUGGCACAUUACAUUUAUAUACAGAUAGACUAGCUGUGCCCGGCCACGCGUUGCUGUGGCAAAAUAUGGUGGUAUGGGAAAUAAAGUAUUGAGGAAUUGGUGGUAGUUAAGGUAAAGGGUAAAGGUUUUCCCGUGACAUUAAGUCCAGCCAUGUUUGACUCUGGAGGUUGGUGCUCAUCUCCAUUUCUAAGCCUAAGAGCUGGCAUUGUCCGUAGACUGCUCCAAGGUCAUGGAGCGCUGUUACCUUCCAGCUGGAGCAGUACCUAUUCAUCUACUCUCAUUUGCAUGUUUUUGAACUUUAGGGUUGGUAGAAGCUGGGGCUAACAGUGGGGGCUCUCUCCGCUCCUCCAAUUCAAACCUGCAACCUAUAAUAAUAAUAAUAAUAAUAAUAAUAAUAAUAAUAAUAAUAAACUUUAUUUAUACCCCGCCACCAUCUCCUCAACGGGGACUUGGGGCGGCUUACAUGGGGCCAUGCCCAGAACAAUACAAUAUAACAAAAUAUAAUAGAACAACAAAUCAUAGCACAUUAAACAACACAAUAAAAGAAAAUAUACUACAUUAAACAAGAUCAAAAGAACAAUAAAACCAAGGGUGGGCCACAUGAACACCUUUCAGUCCAGAAGUUCAGCAGCUCAGCGCUUUAAUACGCUGCGCCAUCAGGGGAGAUUUCCUAAAGUUUGUGAAUAUACAAUAUUUCUGAUUUUUUUUUUGUCUGUUGGAGGCAAGUAUGAAUGCUGCAAUUAGACAAAAUGAUUACCAUGUAAUGGUCUUGCAGCUUUAAAGCCUGGCUGCUUUCUCCCUGAGUGAAUUUUUUGUUGGAAGGUGUUAGCUGGCCCUGAUUGUUUCCUGUCUAGAAUUCCCUUGUUUUCAUAGUGGUGUUCUUUGCGAUAUUUUAUGUGGUUCUACUGUCUGUGGCCCUCAGAAAACAGAGGAUUUGCCAGACUUUGGUGAUGGGAAUACUUUAUUGAGAGGUGUUAGCUGGCCCUGAUUGUUUCCUGUGUGAAAUUCCCCUGUUUUCAGAGUGUUGUUAUUUAUUUAAUGUUCUGAUUUUAGAGAUUGUAUUGUUCUGUUUUAUUAUACCACAUUAAUUUUUAUAUAUUCUGAUUUUAGUGUUUUUGAAUACUUGGAGCCAGAUUGUAUUCAUUUUCAUGGUUCACAGCAACACAACAACAACAACAACAACAAUAGUAAUGAUAGUAAUGAUAGUAAUAAUAAUGACUUUGGUAAUACACACUGCUUCACUCCCUUCUCAGCUUCCUUUCUGGAAGAAUCCUUUCUUGGGAGGUGUUAGCUGGCCCUGAUUGUUUCCUUUGUGGAAUUCCCAAUUUCCCUGCUUUCAGAGUGUUGCUCUUUAUUUCCUGUCCUGGUUUUAGAGAUUAUAUUGUUCUGUAUUAUUCUACCAUAGUAAUUAUUUCAUAUUACAGUAGAAUCUCACUUAUCCAAUGUUCUGGAUUAUCCAACGCAGUCUGCCUUUUAGUAGUCAAUGUUUUUGUAGUCAGUGUUUUAAAUUCAUUGUGAUAUUUUGGUGGUAAAUUUGUAAAUACAGUAAUUACUACAUAGCAUUACUGCACAUGGAACUACUUUUUCUGUCAAAUUUGUUGUAUAACAUGAUGUGUUGGUGUUUAAUUUGUAUAAUGAUUACCUAAUUUGAUGUUUAAUCAGUUUUUAAUGAAUCACUUCUGUAAUGAAGUAUGAAUUUUGGUUUACAGUUGUUAUGUUUAAUUAUAGGUAUAUGUUUGGAAUGGGUAAGUAUUAGAGUUAUCAGUGCGUGGGGGAUGGUAGCCAGCUCAGUAUUCUGAGGCAGGUUGCCAUAGAAACGUAGCUGCUUCUGUAGAAAUGUAACUAUUCUGAAGCUAGCAAGAAAGGGGCGGAGCUAGCUGGAUGAAAAAGGAAGGAAUGUUUUUAAAAGAGUUCAGUCUGUGAUCUGAGAGUCACAGGGAAUAGACUGGUUUCAGGUUUAGGGAAACCAGGGAAGUUCAAAAGUCAGUCUGUGCUCUGAUGAGGCACAGGGAAGAUGUAUUCUAGGUUGAUGGGAUCAAGGAGACUCAAUUGUUCAUUUUGAGUCGGUUUUAAAUAAGUUUGGUGACUUAUUUAAUGUAGUCUGUGUCCUGGAAAGGCACAGAGAAUCUGUGAUAGUAUAUCACAGGGGUGACUGUGGUUUGAAGUCACUGGAUAGUCCAUGUUUCAGACUUUGGGAACCAAUCCCAGAGAUCCAUUGAAGUAACAGUUACAAAGGAGCAGAGGAAUAGGUUUUAACUACUUUAAGUAAAAGAGUUUGAUUCAUCUCAUUCUAGUAUUGUAACUGUUAAUAAGAAUACCUCUAAGUGAAACAUCUUUUGUAACCACCAAAUCUGUGCCUGAAUAAACUUGUUAUUGUUCUUUCAACAUCCAAGCCUCUGUCGCAUAUAUUCUAAACCAAGUUACGCUACCAUCUAAAGUGAAUAAGAAGAAAGAAAGAAAAAAAAGUAAAAGGUCUCCUCCCUGAGUCUUUGGUGGUUGCAUCCUUACAAUUUGAUGGCAGUCGUUACAAAUCUUUACAAAUUGCUGGCAGCGGUGGGAUAAAAAGAUUUCCCCUGCCUGAAGGAGCCUUAGACAUUCGUAGUCCCUUACAAAUUAGUGGCAGUGGUGGGAUAAAAAGAUUCCCCUUGCCUGAAAGAACCUUAGUCGUUAUUAGCUCCUUACACCUUCUUAUUAUCCAACAUAUUUACUUAUCCAACAUUCUGCCGGCCUAUUUAUGUUGGAUAAGUGAGACUGUACUGUAUAUUUAUAAUCUUAUAUUAGCUGCUUAGUACU
rnacentral:lncRNA from 1 species